UACGUAGGGGGCAAGCGUUGUCCGGAUUUACUGGGCGUAAAGAGCGUGUAGGCGGCCAAACAGGUCCGUUGUGAAAACUGGAGGCUCAACUUCCAGACGUCGACGGAAACCGUGUGGCUAGAGUCCGGAAGGGGAGAGUGGAAUUCCUGGUGUAGCGGUGAAAUGCGCAGAUAUCAGGAAGAACACCAAUGGCGAAGGCAGCUCUCUGGGACGGUACUGACGCUGAGACGCGAAAGCGUGGGGAGCGAACAGG
rnacentral:rRNA from 1 species